ensembl:lncRNA
AUGAGUGCCAUUUUUUUUUCUGUGUAGAGGAAUUCAGUGAUACAUCUUUGCUUUAUUUCACUUCCAUUCUGUCAGAGUGCCCCUCUGCUUCCAUGUGUUGCACGGCAACAAAAUGUAAUGGAGUAUUUCUGGGAAGGUUCAAGCUCUACUGCUGUUCCACCAAUAACCACCUCUGAUAUCAUGGGCAAACAUAAUAAAAUAGGAGGCAUUACUUUUGGAUCAGCCCUCAUAGUUAAUUACUUUUGUAAUAACUUUGUUUUCUGUAUAAACCCCAUAUUCUUUUUGUGAAGUGAGUAGGAUAUCUGGUGACAGUGGUCCUGAGAUUCUAGCAUAAUUCUACUAAAAAAUCAUUCCCCUGAAGGUGUAUAAAUCACCUGAAUGAAACUUGAUGUGCUUAUUACAGGCAGAAUCUUAUGUGGUGAUGUUCUUAGUAAGCUGUAAUGGGUCACUGACUACAUGCGGAGAUUCUAUUGAAUUCAACUUCCAGAAUUGAUAUUGUGCUUUCGUAUUGCUGGAUAUGAGGGGACAUAAUAUCUGUCUUUGGAUUGCAGUGCAAAGAAAACAGAACUUCAUAAUUUCAUGAAUGAAUCCUAGUUUCAUGCAUGCUACAGAUAAGGUCAUAACUUCAGAAUGGUUCAACUUCCAUUACUUCAAGUUUUUUAUCUUUUAUCUUAUGUAUCUUUCUGUGCUCUGUCUUCAUAGUGUUCAGAGGGAGCUGAAUUCCAUUCCCAGUUUAGUUUCCUGGUAAAUCAGCUUCCAGUGAAUUAUUUUUGUGGAUAACUCUAUGUGUGCUUUUCAAAUUUUUAUUCAAAGUAGAUUUUACUAAGAAGUGGCAAGGUCAGUAUCUAUUGUACCUAUUAAAUGAACUUUGCUUUAAGCCAUUCAACAAACCUGAAUGCUAUGAAUACUGUUGAAUUUCUACAUUUUUCCAAUAAAUUGUAGUUUUUACUUAAUUUGCUUCUUUGAGCUUUGAUAUGUUCCAGGUUGAAAUGUGGACUACAGUGAAUGUUUCUACCUUGAGAUAGCAGCCACACUUCUGUGACAAAACACAAUAUACUUUUGAGCUUCUUCCUCCCAUUUCAGUGAGUCAGGGUGUUAUGUUAUUGUUGAAAUGCCUACAGUCAUCUUCGGAGAUUCCAAAGUAAGAAGAGCCUGAAACUUUCUCAGGACAUAGUUGACAAGUCCCGUGAUCUAUGAAGUGAGUAGUAUGAGAAAUAAACAAAGUAUAAGAAAAAUUAUCCCUUUUGCACACUUACCUUA